AUUGAACGCUGGCGGCAUGCCUUACACAUGCAAGUCGAACGGCAGCACGGGAGCAAUCCUGGUGGCGAGUGGCGAACGGGUGAGUAAUAUAUCGGAACGUGCCCAGUCGUGGGGGAUAACGUAGCGAAAGCUACGCUAAUACCGCAUACGAUCUAUGGAUGAAAGCGGGGGAUCGCAAGACCUCGCGCGAUUGGAGCGGCCGAUAUCAGAUUAGGUAGUUGGUGGGGUAAAAGCCUACCAAGCCUUCGAUCUGUAGCUGGUCUGAGAGGACGACCAGCCACACUGGGACUGAGACACGGCCCAGACUCCUACGGGAGGCAGCAGUGGGGAAUAUUGGACAAUGGGCGAAAGCCUGAUCCAGCAAUGCCGCGUGAGUGAUGAAGGCCUUAGGGUUGUAAAGCUCUUUUACCAGGGAUGAUAAUGACAGUACCUGGAGAAUAAGCUCCGGCUAACUCCGUGCCAGCAGCCGCGGUAA
rnacentral:rRNA from 1 species